UUAAUUAAAACUAAGAAUUGCGAUGGUCCCUGUGGAUGCUGACGCAAUGUGAUUUCUGCCCAGUGAUUUGAAUGUUAAAGUGAAUAAAUUCAACCAAGCAUGGAUAAACAGUGGGAUUAACUAUGAAUCUCUUAAGGUAUCCAAAUGCUUCGCCAUCUAAUUAGUGAUGCACGUGAAUGAAUUAACUAGAUUCCCGCUAUCCCUAUCUACUAUCUAGUGAAACCACAACCAAGGGAUUGGGUUUGGCAUAAUCAAUAGGGAAAGAAAACCUUGUUGAGAUUGACUCUAUUCAGGCUUUGUGAUAUGAAUUGAGAGUUUUAUAAUAAGUGGGAAUCAUUUUUGACACAAAUGAUAUAACACUACUUCUAAAAUUAUUUUACUUUUAAUUUUGUGGGGCAAAGAUAGUGUAGUUAACCAAUUUUUUUCCUUAAGUCAUGUUUCGAUGGGUCGAUCUGGGCAAAAGACAUUUCCGGGUGGGGAUUUUGGAUGGGGAAACACAUCUAUUAAAAUAUAACAUAAAAUAUAAUUGGUGUAUAUAUAACAUUUGUAUUUGGUAUAUCCUAGUGCACAACCACCCUUAUUACCUUUCCCUCCUAAUUUGUAGUUACCUCCAAUCAUUUCUAAAUUGAAUCUAUUUUCCUCACUUACACAAUAUGGAUAGAUGUAUGAAACCUAUAUAUUAUUAAAUAUGUUAAAACCCCUAUACAUGAGCCUAUGGUUAAAUACAAAUGGA
rnacentral:ncRNA from 1 species